UAAUACGGAGGGUGCAAGCGUUAUCCGGAUUUAUUGGGUUUAAAGGGUCCGCAGGCGGAACUUUAAGUCAGUGGUGAAAGCCUACAGCUUAACUGUAGAACUGCCAUUGAUACUGAAGUUCUUGAGUGUGGUUGAAGUGGGCGGAAUAUGUCAUGUAGCGGUGAAAUGCAUAGACAUGACAUGGAACACCAAUUGCGAAAGCAGCUCACUAAACCAUUACUGACGCUCAUGGACGAAAGUGUGGGUAGCGAACAGGAUUAGAUACCCUGGUAGUCCACACCGUAAACUAUGAUCACUAGAUGUUGGCGAUAUAAUGUCAGUGUUAAAGAGAAAUCGUUAAGUGAUCCACCUGGGGAGUACGUUCGCAAGAAUG
rnacentral:rRNA from 1 species